UCGAGAGUUUGAUCCUGGCUCAGGAUGAACGCUAGCGGCAGGCUUAACACAUGCAAGUCGAGGGGUAUAGUUCUUCGGGGCUAGAGACCGGCGCACGGGUGCGUAACGCGUAUGCAAUCUACCUUUUACAGAGGGAUAGCCCAGAGAAAUUUGGAUUAAUACCUCAUAGUAUGUGAGAAUCGCAUGGUUUUCACAUUAAAGUUCCAACGGUAAAGAUGAGCAUGCGUCCCAUUAGCUAGAUGGUAAGGUAACGGCUUACCAUGGCGACGAUGGGUAGGGGUCCUGAGAGGGAGAUCCCCCGACACUGGUACUGAGACACGGACCAGACUCCUACGGGGAGGCAGCAGUGAGGAAUAUUGGACAAUGGGGCGCAAGCCUGAUCCCAGCCCAUGCCGCGUGCAGGAUGAUGGUCCUAUGGAUUGUAAACUGCUUUUUG
rnacentral:rRNA from 1 species